rnacentral:rRNA from 1 species
GGACGACGCUGGCGGCGUGCCUAAUACAUGCAAGUCGAACGGCCUUUUCUAUGGAAGCUUGCUUCCACUGAGAAGAUAGUGGCGAACGGGUGAGUAACACGUGGGUAACCUGCCCAUAAGAGGGGGAUAACAUCCGGAAACGGGUGCUAAUACCGCAUAGUUUUCUUGAUCGCAUGAUCGGGAAAGGAAAGACGGCCUUUGUGCUGUCGCUUAUGGAUGGACCCGCGGCGUAUUAGUUAGUUGGUGAGGUAACGGCUCACCAAGACGAUGAUACGUAGCCGACCUGAGAGGGUGAUCGGCCACAUUGGGACUGAGACACGGCCCAAACUCCUACGGGAGGCAGCAGUAGGGAAUCUUCCGCAAUGGACGAAAGUCUGACGGAGCAACGCCGCGUGAGUGAAAGAAGGUUUUCGGGUCGUAAAACUCUGUUGUCAGAGAAGAACAAGUUGGAGAGUAACUGCUCCAGCCUUGACGGUAUCUGACCAGAAAGCCACGGCUAACUACGUGCCAGCCGCCGC